AGAGUUUGAUCCUGGCUCAGAGCGAACGCUGGCGGCGUGGAUUAGGCAUGCAAGUCGAACGGGUUCGCGGUCGCAAGAUCGCGAGCCAGUGGCGAAAGGGCGAGUACUACAUCGAUCAUCUGCCCCAGGGACCGGGACAACACUUGGAAACGAGUGCUAAUACCGGAUAGUCCAGUAAUGGUAAACGGCGGGGACCGCAAGGCCUGCCGCCCAGGGAGGAGUCGAUGGCCUAUCAGCUUGUUGGUGAGGUAACGGCUCACCAAGGCGAAGACGGGUAGCCGGACUGAGAGGUUGGUCGGCCGCACUGGGACUGGGACACUGCCCAGACUCCUACGGGAGGCUGCAGUCGAGGAUCUUCCGCAAUGGGGGCAACCCUGACGGAGCGACGCCGCGUGCAGGAUGAAGGCCUUCGGGUCGUAAACUGCUGUCACACGUUAUGAAUAAGUGCGUAUUAACACUACGCACCCUGACAAAGGCGUGAAAGGAAGCCACGGCUAACUUCGUGCCAGCAGCCGCGGUAAG
rnacentral:rRNA from 1 species